UAGGGAAUCUUCGGCAAUGGACGAAAGUCUGACCGAGCAACGCCGCGUGAGUGAAGAAGGUUUUCGGAUCGUAAAACUCUGUUGUUAGAGAAGAACAAGGACGUUAGUAACUGAACGUCCCCUGACGGUAUCUAACCAGAAAGCCACGGCUAACUACGUGCCAGCAGCCGCGGUAAUACGUAGGUGGCAAGCGUUGUCCGGAUUUAUUGGGCGUAAAGCGAGCGCAGGCGGUUUCUUAAGUCUGAUGUGAAAGCCCCCGGCUCAACCGGGGAGGGUCAUUGGAAACUGGGAGACUUGAGUGCAGAAGAGGAGAGUGGAAUUCCAUGUGUAGCGGUGAAAUGCGUAGAUAUAUGGAGGAACACCAGUGGCGAAGGCGGGUCUCUGGUCUGUAACUGACGCUGAGGCUCGAAAGCGUGGGGAGCAAACAGG
rnacentral:rRNA from 1 species